rnacentral:rRNA from 1 species
AGACUUUGAUUAUGGCUCAGAUUGAACGCUGGCGGCAGGCCUAACACAUGCAAGUCGAACGGCAGCGCGAGGAAAGCUUGCUUUCCUUGGCGGCGAGUGGCGAACGGGUGAGUAAUGUAUCGGAACGUGCCCAGUAGCGGGGGAUAACCACUCGAAAGAGUGGCUAAUACCGCAUACGCCCUUCGGGGGAAAGGGGGGGAUUCUUUCGGGAACCUCUCACUAUUGGAGCGGCCGAUAUCGGAUUAGCUAGUUGGUGGGGUAAAGGCCUACCAAGGCGACGAUCCGUAGCUGGUUUGAGAGGACGACCAAGCCACACUGGGACUGAGACACGGCCCAGACUCCUUACGGGGAGGCAGCAGUGGGGGAAUUUUGGACAAUGGGGGGGAAACCCUGAUCCAACAAUCCCCCCGUGUGCCAAUGAAAGGCCUUUCGGGUUGGUAAAG